rnacentral:rRNA from 1 species
UACGGAGGGUGCAAGCGUUAUCCGGAUUCACUGGGCUUAAAGGGUGCGUAGGCGGAUAGGUAAGUCCGUGGUGAAAUCCUGCAGCUUAACUGCAGAACUGCCGUGGAUACUAUCUAUCUUGAAUGUCGUGGAGGUUAGCGGAAUAUGUCAUGUAGCGGUGAAAUGCUUAGAUAUGACAUAGAACACCAAUUGCGAAGGCAGCUCACUACACGAAUAUUGACACUGAGGCGCGAAAGCGUGGGGAUCAAACAGG